AGCAGUGAGGGAAUAUUGGUCAAUAGCCCAACGGCUGAACCAGCAACUUGAAAGAAUGUAAAGACUUUUGUGUAAAGUUCUAGAUAUAAUAUUGAUAAAGACAACUUUAUAUCUAUGUGUCUUGACCAAAUCACGUGCCAGCAGUCGCGGUAACACGUGGAAGACUAGUGUUAUUCAUCUUUAUUAGGUUUAAAGGGUACCUAGACUGUAUAUUUAGCCUAAGUAAGGUACAGAUAUACUAGAGUUUUAUAUGAGGAGGUAGAAUUUUUGGAGAAGUGAUAAAAUACAUCUAUACUAAAAAGACUGUUAACGGUGAAGACAACCUUCUAUGUAUGAACUGACGUUGAGGGACGAAGGCUUGGGUAACGAUAAGGAUUAGAUACCCUAGUAGUCCAAGCAGAAAAUGAUGAAUGUCAUAGACUAGAAAAUUUAGACUAUAAAUGAAAAUGUAAGCAUUCCACCUUAAGAGUAAUGUGGCAACACAGAAACUUAAAUCAUUAGACCGUUUCUGAAACCAGUAGUGAAGUAUGUUAUUUAAUUCGAUGACCCGCGAAAAACCUUACCACAAUUUGUAUAUUAUUUAUUUAAUACAGGUGCUGCACGGCUGUCUUUAGUUAAUGUCGUGAGAUUUUGGUUAGUUCCAUUAAUUAACGUAAACCCUUGUUUUAUUUUAUAAUAAAACAGCUCUGCCACUAUAUCGGUAAGUUAACAGGGAUUAAGACAAGUCAUCAUGGCCUUAAUAUUGUGGGCUAUAGACGUGCCA
rnacentral:rRNA from 1 species